GUUAGAGUCCCAAUUCCCCCCCCCCCAAGCUCUUUACUGUGGUGCCUAUAAUUACCUGCAUCAGUGAAUAUGUUCUGCUUUUUCGUGGUCUCUGUGAAUGCACACUAACUGGUUUAGUGCACCUGCACAGAGAAACCUCUGAAUAUUCAAUUAGAGCUUAACCACAUGGUGCCGGGACCUCCCACAUGCUGCCUUUAUGACACCCGCCCUGCCACUGAGUGCCUCAGUUCCUUUCCUGCUGCCGCUGCAGCAGCACCUCAGCUUUAGAACUUACCUCUUCUCCGUCAGGAAAAACUUACUUCUUGUGGACCUCCCGGACUUCUGACUCAGACUGUUGAUGCUGCAAACUGCCUGAAGUCCAUCACCUGAAUUAGCAACAGACCAAUGUGCUAGAUACCUGAGUAUCGUGUUCUGAAGAGGCCAAAGAGCCCGAAAAACCCACAACAACCAUUAGAUCCCGGCUGUGAAAGCCUUUGUGAAUACAUUUACCUGGUUUAUUUGUAUUUUGACAUGAGGGCUGGGCAACAGCUUCUGUGCCUCCAUCAAGCAGAAAAUUUCAAAAGUCAUGGUGUCUUCCUCCACUCCACAUAUAGAAGCCAGCUGGACUAGGAGUCAACUCCUACUCACCAUGGGUAACUGCAUAAUGCCUCUCACCGUGUCUCAGGGCAGCCCACUCGUUUAUAAGAUGCAUGCCAGACUGUAUAACACACGCAAUGCAGCUCUGUCCUUCGAGAGAUGGAAAUUGCCAAUUGGGUCAGGAGAAAUGCCAGGAGGGCAUUACUGUCCACUACCAUCUGCAGGCUGAGGUAGUUAAGGUGCCUAAUUAUAGGACUGACCCUUAGGAGACUUCCAUUAUGUGGAGCACCUGGAACCUAUCACUUUUAAGUAUGUGGAAAGAAAACAGAAGGACAAGGUUACUAAUCUUCAAGAGCUUUGUUCAUGUGCCAGAAAACCUUUAGUCUCUUCCAUAUUUUAGUCAUUGCAAAAGCAGGGAACAGUAACUGGAAUGCUGGUUGGAUGGCAGACUACAGUGGGAAACAAGCUUAGGUCAAAUUAAGCAAGAGGAUCUUUCAGUAAACUGGAUGUCAUAGAGGGCCAAUGAAGAUAAAUGAUGUCUUGCUGGAACAAAAGAAAAACAAAUGCUGAUUCUUGAUCGGAAUAUUCCCCUCAUUCAGUGGAGACUGACUCAUAGACCAAGAUAUGAGUUUCUACUGAUUUAAACGGGCUUUGAUGUUGACUUGAGUGUGUUGCUAAAGGAUUGCCAGACCAGAAAUUUGACAAGGGAGCUUGCAUUGUUUGGCUCCAACUAAAGGCCGUUCAUUGCAAUCUGCAGAGCUACGUUAUACUGUUUUCACAACACACAAACAGUAGUCUCUCCACAAUCAACCUGAGGAAUGAGACAGAUACCAUGUCAGCUAACAACCUAGCUUCAUUUCAUAACAUUCUGGGUCUUUAUGGGAUGUCCAUUGUGGUUGAAAUGGUUUCUUUGCUCUGUUUUCCAGCCCCGCUCUUUGGGUAAGCAAGAUAUUAGGUCCUUAGUUCACAGACAAAGAAAGAAAAUGGGUAAGUAUGUUCCAAAGGGAAGAGAAAAAUCAAAUCUUGUAUUAAUUAUGUCUAUGGGGAGCAAGUUGUCUGAAAAGCUAGGAAAUUUUAUAAACAUAGUUAAAAUCUCCCCCCCUCCAUAGAAGUAAAUUACUAAUAAUAUUUAAUAAGAAGAGGCACAGGCAUAGCGCGUUGCUAAUUGAACAUUUAAAAUCGUGAGUACAUUUGACAUCACCUUCCUGUUAAGCUGUAAUUCCGAAUCUGAUAUUCUAGCCCUGCUGAAAUCCCCUUGAUGAAUAAAGCAGCAAUUGGUUUCGACUCUGUUUGCUGUAAUCUUUCAUAAAUCUAAUAACUCUGUAUAUGAUCAGCUGGCAUCCUCAGCAAUAGCGCAAUAGGUUACUAUUUGUUUGUCGGGGAGGGAGUGUUUGUUUUUCAAGACAGAGAUUGGAAAUCCAUUGCUGAAAAAUUACACUCAUUAUUUUUCCCCAGCGUUGAUGUCACUCGCACCAUUUCCUAGCUUGGAUGCGUUCCAUGCUUCUGCCUGGCAGGCUGUCUGCAUGCAAUUGGUUGUUUGGGAAAUCAACCCAGGAGCUGCAAUUUAUCUUUCCAGCUGGUGCCCAUACAGCUGUGCUGUAGAGAAAGGUGCUAAUUGUCUGGUAUUCAUUCAAGGAAGGAUGAGCACAGUGCCCUCUUCUAACUGGUAGAUAACAUGCAGUGUAGGUUGGGGAUUUUGAUCUGUGAGAAAGAAAACAUGGUCUGUAUUGUGCUAAGAGUAGAUUUUGCAGUUAACGGAUGAGAUUGAAAUACUGUAACUCUCAGGCUUUGCAAAAGAGCAGAGCACACCUCAGUUCAAGUUGGUGUGCAAAAGACAAUGUAAUGUAAUGACAACAUCCAUAUGACUGUGGGUUCGAUUUUUGGCAAAAGGUGGAAUACAAAUGUGAUAAAUAAACACAGAGCAAUAUGUUAUUAUUUAUUUGUUAUGUUUUUAAUCAUACUUUUCCUUAAGUCAUUCUCUCUGCCCACAGAAAAAGAAUCCUCUGAGCUAGUCUGCUCCCAGACUUUGGAACUCUAAAUAAAUAAAUAAAUAAAAUAAAUAAACUCUCUCCCACCAGAGGCCAGGCUGGGUCCGCCUCUGCUGUCCUUCUGCAAACAGGCAAAUACUUUUUUUUUUCAGGCAAACUUUCCCUUAAUGACUGAGAGCCUGAGUGGGGUUCCUAAAUGUAUGGUUUUACCUUGUGUCCUUCUUAAAGAGAAAGGCAGGGUAGAAAUGUUUAAAUAAAUAGAUCUGGCUGAAAAACUUUUGGCCAGUCCAAUAUCACCCAUUGAGGUUUGUGGUUCAGUGGAAGACUGAAUCCCCCAAGUCUGAGGCCCUGGUAGGGUCUCUUUUCUCCUUUGAUGAGUACCUUUAUUGGGCCAAACCAAAGAUCACAAAAUUAUUUUUAGUUUGUCAGGCAAGAGAUGAAUAAAGUGGGUGCCAGGUACUGCAAUGGUUUCUAUUUGCUUCUGCAAUUCUCUCUAGGGUUGCUGCAAAGAAGGAUCAGUGAAACCCAUCCACACAUCCAACAGUGGAUGAUCUCCCAUUUUUAAAAAUAUAAAAUCCAGCAGCAUCCAACUGUCUCCAUCCUGAAACACACAGGGGUCUGGUGAUGGAAAAUAUUGAUUGAUUGAUUGAUUGAUUGAUUGAUUGA